rnacentral:misc_RNA from 1 species
GAUGAAGAACGUAGCGAAAUGCGAUAAGUAAUGCGAAUUGCAGAAUUCCAGUGAGUCAUCGAAUCUUUGAACGCACAUGGCGCCUUCCAGUAUCCUGGGAGGCAUGCCUGUCCGAGCGUCGUUUCAACCCUCGAGCCCCCGUGGCCCGGCGUUGGGGAUCUGCCACGGCAGGCCCCUAAAACCAGUGGCGGACCCGAAGGCCCUCUCCUUUGCGCAGUAGCAUCAGCCUCGCAUUGGGAUCCCUCGGCGUCCUGCCUCUAAACCCCCCACAAGUCCGCUCCGGCGGCACCAAGGUUGACCUCGGAUCAGGUAGGAAUACCCGCUGAACUUAAGCAUAUCAAUAAGCGGAGGA